rnacentral:rRNA from 1 species
AUUGAACGCUGGCGGCAUGCCUUACACAUGCAGGUCGAACGGCAGCACGGGAGCAAUCCUGGUGGCGAGUGGCGAACGGGUGAGUAAAGUAUCGGAACGUGCCCAGUCGUGGGGGAUAACGUAGCGAAAGUUACGCUAAUACCGCAUACGAUCUAUGAAUGAAAGCGGGGGAUCGCAAGACCUCGCGCGAUUGGAGCGGCCGAUAUCAGAUUAGGUAGUUGGUGGGGUAAAGGCUCACCAAGCCGACGAGCUGUAGCUGGUCUGAGAGGACGACCAGCCACACUGGGACUGAGACACGGCCCAGACUCCUACGGGAGGCAGCAGUGGGGAAUUUUGGACAAUGGGCGAAAGCCUGAUCCAGCCAUGCCGCGUGCAGGAUGAAGGCCUUCGGGUUGUAAACUGCUUUUGUACGGAACGAAAAGGUUUGGCCUAAUAAGCUGAGCUCAUGACGGUACCGUAAGAAUAAGCACCGGCUAACUACGUGCCAGCCGCCGCAGUAA